rnacentral:rRNA from 1 species
GACAGAGGGUGCAAACGUUGUUCGGAAUUACUGGGCGUAAAGGGCGCGUAGGCGGUGUGUCAAGUCAGGCGUGAAAGCCCCGGGCUCAACCUGGGAACCGCGCUUGAGACUGGCACGCUAGAGUUCGGGAGAGGAUGGUGGAAUUCCCAGUGUAGAGGUGAAAUUCGUAGAUAUUGGGAAGAACACCGAUGGCGAAGGCAGCCAUCUGGACCGACACUGACGCUGAGGCGCGAAAGCGUGGGGAGCAAAUAGG